rnacentral:rRNA from 1 species
UGGGGAAUCUUCCGCAAUGGACGAAAGUCUGACGGAGCAACGCCGCGUGAGUGAAGACGGCCUUCGGGUUGUAAAGCUCUGUGAUCCGGGACGAAAGAGCCUGAGGUGAAUAGCCUAAGGAAGUGACGGUACCGGAAAAGCAAGCCACGGCUAACUACGUGCCAGCAGCCGCGGUAAUACGUAGGUGGCAAGCGUUGUCCGGAAUUAUUGGGCGUAAAGCGCGCGCAGGCGGCUUCCUAAGUCCAUCUUAAAAGUGCGGGGCUUAACCCCGUGAUGGGAUGGAAACUGGGAAGCUGGAGUAUCGGAGAGGAAAGUGGAAUUCCUAGUGUAGCGGUGAAAUGCGUAGAGAUUAGGAAGAACACCGGUGGCGAAGGCGACUUUCUGGACGAAAACUGACGCUGAGGCGCGAAAGCGUGAGGAGCAAACAGG